rnacentral:rRNA from 1 species
UACGUAGGGUGCAAGCGUUGUCCGGAUUUAUUGGGCGUAAAGAGCGUGUAGGCGGCCAGACAGGUCCGUUGUGAAAAACUCGAGGCUCAACCCUCGAGACGCCGAAUGGAAAACCGUCUGGCUAGAGUCCGGAAGAGGAGAGUGGAAUUCCUGGAUGUAGCGGUGAAAUGCGCAGAUAUCAGGAAGAACACCUAUGGCGAAGGCAGCUCUCUGGGACGGUACUGACGCUGAGACGCGAAAGCGUGGGGAGCGAACAGG